AGAGUUUGAUCAUGGCUCAGAUUGAACGCUGGCGGCAGGCCUAACACAUGCAAGUCGAGCGGUAGCACAGAGAGCUUGCUCUCGGGUGACGAGCGGCGGACGGGUGAGUAAUGUCUGGGAAACUGCCUGAUGGAGGGGGAUAACUACUGGAAACGGUAGCUAAUACCGCAUAACGUCGCAAGACCAAAGUGGGGGACCUUCGGGCCUCAUGCCAUCAGAUGUGCCCAGAUGGGAUUAGCUAGUAGGUGGGGUAACGGCUCACCUAGGCGACGAUCCCUAGCUGGUCUGAGAGGAUGACCAGCCACACUGGAACUGAGACACGGUCCAGACUCCUACGGGAGGCAGCAGUGGGGAAUAUUGCACAAUGGGCGCAAGCCUGAUGCAGCCAUGCCGCGUGUGUGAAGAAGGCCUUCGGGUUGUAAAAGCACUUUCAGCGGGGAGGAAGGCGUUAAGGUUAAUAACCUUGGCGAUUGACGUUACCCGCAGAAGAAGCACCGGCUAACUCCGUGCCAGCAGCCGCGGUAAUACGGAGGGUGCAAGCGUUAAUCGGAAUUACUGGGCGUAAAGCGCACGCAGGCGGUCUGUCAAGUCGGAUGUGAAAUCCCCGGGCUCAACCUGGGAACUGCAUUCGAAACUGGCAGGCUAGAGUCUUGUAGAGGGGGGUAGAAUUCCAGGUGUAGCGGUGAAAUGCGUAGAGAUCUGGAGGAAUACCGGUGGCGAAGGCGGCCCCCUGGACAAAGACUGACGCUCAGGUGCGAAAGCGUGGGGAGCAAACAGGAUUAGAUACCCUGGUAGUCCACGCCGUAAACGAUGUCGAUUUGGAGGUUGUGCCCUUGAGGCGUGGCUUCCGGAGCUAACGCGUUAAAUCGACCGCCUGGGGAGUACGGCCGCAAGGUUAAAACUCAAAUGAAUUGACGGGGGCCCGCACAAGCGGUGGAGCAUGUGGUUUAAUUCGAUGCAACGCGAAGAACCUUACCUGGUCUUGACAUCCCACAGAACUUUCCAGAGAUGGAUUGGUGCCUUCGGGAACUGUGAGACAGGUGCUGCAUGGCUGUCGUCAGCUCGUGUUGUGAAAUGUUGGGUUAAGUCCCGCAACGAGCGCAACCCUUAUCCUUUGUUGCCAGCGGUCCGGCCGGGAACUCAAAGGAGACUGCCAGUGAAUAAACUGGAGGAAGGUGGGGAUGACGUCAAGUCAUCAUGGCCCUUACGACCAGGGCUACACACGUGCUACAAUGGCAUAUACAAAGAGAAGCGACCUCGCGAGAGCAAGCGGACCUCAUAAAGUAUGUCGUAGUCCGGAUUGGAGUCUGCAACUCGACUCCAUGAAGUCGGAAUCGCUAGUAAUCGUAGAUCAGAAUGCUACGGUGAAUACGUUCCCGGGCCUUGUACACACCGCCCGUCACACCAUGGGAGUGGGUUGCAAAAGAAGUAGGUAGCUUAACCUUCGGGAGGGCGCUUACCACUUUGUGAUUCAUGACUGGGGUGAAGUCGUAACAAGGUAACCGUAGGGGAACCUGCGGUUGGAUCACCU
rnacentral:rRNA from 1 species